GACGAACGCUGGCGGCGUGCCUAACACAUGCAAGUCGAACGGAGAUAUGAUUUCGGUUGUAUCUUAGUGGCGAACGGGUGAGUAACGCGUGAGCAACCUGACUCUUAGAGGGGGAUAACACUCGGAAACGGGUGCUAAUACCGCAUAAGACCACGACAUGGCAUCAUGACGAGGUCAAAGGAGCAAUCCGCUGAGAGAGGGGCUCGCGUCCCAUUAGAUAGAUGGCGGGGUAACGGCCCACCAUGUCAGCGAUGGGUAGCCGAGCUGAGAGGCUGAUCGGCCACACUGGAACUGAGACACGGUCCAGACUCCUACGGGAGGCAGCAGUGGGGAAUAUUGGGCAAUGGGCGCAAGCCUGACCCAGCAACGCCGCGUGAGGGAAGAAGGCUUUCGGGUUGUAAACCUCUGUCCUUGGUGACGAAAAAAUGACGGUAGCCAAGGAGGAAGCCCGGCUAACUACGUGCCAGCAGCCGCGGUAAUAGUACUCU
rnacentral:rRNA from 1 species